rnacentral:rRNA from 1 species
UACGGAGGGUGCAAGCGUUGCUCGGAAUUAUUGGGCGUAAAGGGUAGGUAGGUGGUCUUAUUUGUCUGAGGUGAAAGCCUUGAGCUUAACUCAAGAAGUGCCUCAGAAACGGUGAGACUGGAGUCCUGGAGAGGGUCGUGGAAUUCCCGGUGUAGCGGUGAAAUGCGUAGAGAUCGGGAGGAACACCAGAGGCGAAGGCGGCGACCUACAGGAACUGACACUCAACUACGAAAGCGUGGGGAGCAAACAGG